CCUGGGUGGUGGACCAGAGGGGUGAAGUCCGGAUGAGCAGGGAUAUUUUGUGAACCAGACAGUGGGAGGGGUAAUGCGGGCUGCGUAUUGCGGGUGGAAGGCAAGAGGUCGGCAGGCAGCCAGGCUGGCUGACAUGUGAGGUGGCACGUUUGUCUCCCGCCUGAUUCUCUGCAGAUGCUGCUGGGGACGGGCUCUGUCUCAAGGUCUUAGAAGGAAGCUGGUGGAGCUGGUGGACCGGAGGGAAGUACAGAAGCACGUGAAAGCCAGCAGGUCCUGGAAAUGGAACUCAAGUUGGCAGGCUUGAUGGCAAGUGCUGAGCCAUCUUUCCAUCCAAGAUUGAGGAUUCUAGAACGUGCUAAAUAUUCUUGAUUGAUUCAUUGCCUUCCGGUGACCUCGGAAGAAAACAUGAAGUAGAGGCCAUCUUGAUGGGAGUGGAGGCAAGUCUCACCUCUCCUCAUCACCCCAGUAUAAAGCACAAAGCAGACACUGUUUCCUAGCUGGAUCCCAGGGACUGUCUGGCUCUGUUACAGCCACACUCGAUGAAAAUAUCUCUGCUCAGUGCUGAAGCCUUGGUCUCGGUAAUUGACUUGUAUAAUGUCCAAAGAUUCUGUGCCUGUAACCAGCCCCAAGUGAUGCAUCAUCUUUAGCAGAAAGAUUUAUCAUGGAAUCCGUGGCAACCACCCAUUUGUCUGUAGCAGAAAUAGGAAUGACUGCCUUUGCCAGGAGUCAUCCUUUGUCUUCAAAGCAAAUUCCUCCAUGGUUGGAGGCUUUCUGGCCGAGCUCCCACAGUCCUAGCAUCUCCAUCCCAAGGAUCUCAGUCACAGGCAAGGGAGAAACUGAAUCUCUGGAUUCAGGAGCCCUGAGCUGUAGGACUGAUGGCUACCAGCUGGCCUUGGAGUAGAGAUGCCAACAGUAUGGAUGGACUUCAUGAUGGUUGUAAGAGACAAAAGGGCAGGAUACAUGGGAGCCUUUAGGAUGUUGCUGGAGAGCGCCCCCUAUGACCUACAGUUCUCAUUACACACAACUGCAGGGGAACAAAAAGCAGAGAAGACAGAUCUAUUUGAGGCUAUACUACCCCGCCAAGGUCCUGCUCAUGAUGUGCUCCUGUGGCUUAAGUUUUCACAUUCAUCAAUAUUGAUCCAUCAAUAAUUUAUGUUGAUAUAAGGAGCAAGGUAAGGAUUCAGAUUUAUUUUUGCAUCCGAUGGUCAAGCUAAUAUGAUUGAUUAAAAUCUGUUUCUACCCAUUUUAAAUACAGCACAAUCUUUACUAUAAACCUAAAACGUUUUUACCUGAGAUUUUCUGAGCUUUUCCACUGCCUCGUGUAUUUCUCUUGAUUAGGAUGCAUUCAUUUCAGUAGUUUUAGAAUAUGCUCUUGCUUGUGGGCUAGUUCUUUACAAAUCUUCAUUUUCAUAAUUUACCUGGCUAAUUUUGUUUUUUUCUAUUUCUCUCUGAACCUUAGAAUCAGCUUGUCAAGAAAAAAAAACUUGUAGCUGUUUUA